AAGGCUAAAUACUCUCUAGUGACCGAUAGUGAACCAGUACCGUGAGGGAAAGGUGAAAAGCACCCCGGAAGGGGAGUGAAAUAGAACCUGAAACCGUGUGCUUACAAGUAGUCAGAGCCCGUUAAUGGGUGAUGGCGUGCCUUUUGUAGAAUGAACCGGCGAGUUACGAUUUGAUGCAAGGUUAAGCAGUAAAUGUGGAGCCGUAGCGAAAGCGAGUCUGAAUAGGGCGUUUAGUAUUUGGUCGUAGACCCGAAACCAGGUGAUCUACCCUUGGUCAGGUUGAAGUUCAGGUAACACUGAAUGGAGGACCGAACCGACUUACGUUGAAAAGUGAGCGGAUGAACUGAGGGUAGCGGAGAAAUUCCAAUCGAACCUGGAGAUAGCUGGUUCUCUCCGAAAUAGCUUUAGGGCUAGCCUCAAGUGAUGAUUAUUGGAGGUAGAGCACUGUUUGGACGAGGGGCCCCUCUCGGGUUACCGAAUUCAGACAAACUCCGAAUGCCAAUUAAUUUAACUUGGGAGUCAGAACAUGGGUGAUAAGGUCCGUGUUCGAAAGGGAAACAGCCCAGACCACCAGCUAAGGUCCCAAAAUAUAUGUUAAGUGGAAAAGGAUGUGGCGUUGCCCAGACAACUAGGAUGUUGGCUUAGAAGCAGCCAUCAUUUAAAGAGUGCGUAAUAGCUCACUAGUCGAGUGACACUGCGCCGAAAAUGUACCGGGGCUAAACAUAUUACCGAAGCUGUGGAUUGUCCUUUGGACAAUGGUAGGAGAGCGUUCUAAGG
rnacentral:rRNA from 1 species